GUGACAGCAGCCGCGGUAAUACUCGCGGUCCAAGUCGCAGCCAUUUUUAUUGGGUCUAAAACAUCCGUAGCUUGCUUAAUAAGUUCCCUGUGAAAUUUUGUAUCUUAAAUACAAAGCGGGCAGGGAGUACUGUUGAGCUAGGGACUGGAAGACGUAAGAAGUACGAAUAAAGUAGUAGUAAAAUGCUCUGAUCUUAUUCGGACUCACAAUAGCGAAGGCAUCUUACGAGGACAGAUCUGACAGUAAGGGAUGUAGGCUAGGGGCGCAAAACGGAUUAGAAACCCGAGUAGUCC
rnacentral:rRNA from 1 species